ACGGAGGGUGCGAGCGUUGUCCGGAAUCACUGGGCGUAAAGGGCGCGUAGGUGGCCGAGCAAGGUCGCGGUGAAAGCUUGGGGCUCAACCCCAAGUCGGCCGUGGCAACUACUGGGCUGGAGCACUGUAGGGGCAGAUGGAAUUCCGGGUGUAGCGGUGGAAUGCGUAGAGAUCCGGAAGAACACCGGUGGCGAAGGCGGUCUGCUGGGCAGUUGCUGACACUGAGGCGCGACAGCGUGGGGAGCAAACAGGA
rnacentral:rRNA from 1 species